rnacentral:rRNA from 1 species
CUACGGGGCGCUGCAGUGGGGAAUAUUGGACAAUGGGGGAAACCCUGAUCCAGCAAUGCCGCGUGUGUGAAGAAGGCCUGCGGGUUGUAAAGCACUUUCGGUUGGGAGGACUGCUUCUAGCACUAAUAUUGUUGGAAGUUGACGUUACCUUCAGAAGAAGCACCGGCUAACUCCGUGCCAGCAGGCCGCGGUAAUACGGAGGGUGCAAGCGUUAAUCGGAAUUACUGGGCGUAAAGCGCGCGUAGGCGGCUAGAUCAGUCGGGUGUGAAAGCCCCGGGCUUAACCUGGGAACUGCAUCCGAUACUGUCUAGCUUGAGUACAGGAGAGGAGAGUGGAAUUCCACAUGUAGCGGUGAUAUGCGUAGAUAUGUGGAGGAACACCAAUGGCGAAGGCAGCUCUCUGGCCUGAUACUGACGCUGAGGUGCGAAAGCGUGGGGAGCAAACAGGAUUAGAUACCCCUGUAGUC